ensembl:lncRNA
GAUAAAUGCUGAAUUCCAGCGCAUCACUACGGUCCCGCUAACAUCCACAUUUAUGGCACAGCUGGACAACAACACAACCAAACUGACCAAAGUCUUCAGAAACAAGGGAGGAACAUCUGGACGCAAGAUCACAGAAAUCAUGGCUGCAAUUGAUGAGAACGACACAGUUGCAAUGAGAAGAGUGUGUACGCUGAAAGGACUUGCAGUCUACCUCAAUGAAGAUCCGAACAGCUUGAUCAAAGAAUAUCAGAUGAUGGACCAACACCUCUCAUCUCGCUCUGAGCUGUCUACUGUUUUGCAGCUUAAAGGGAUAUUCCACCCCAAAGAUGUGGACUUCCAUGAGGCCGAAAGUGAAAUGGAGAAGACGCUCAUUGGC